rnacentral:rRNA from 1 species
UAAAACGUAGGAGACAAACGUUAUCCGGAGUUACUGGGCGUAAAGGGCGUGUAGGCGGUUUGUUAAGUCUGGCGUGAAAGCUCUCGGCUAAACCGGGAGAGGUCGUUGGAUACUGGCAAACUAGAGGACGGUAGAGGCGUGUGGAAUUCCGGGUGUAGUGGUGAAAUGCGUAGAGAUCCGGAGGAACACCAGUGGCGAAGGCGACACGCUGGGCCGUACCUGACGCUAAAGCGCGACAGCAUGGGGAGCAAACGGGAUUAGAAACCCCGGUAGUCCAUGCCGUAAACGAUGCCAGCUAGGUGUUCAAGACGCGCAAGCGGCUGGGGUACCGAAGCAAACGCGAUAAGCUGGCCGCCUGGGGAGUACGGUCGCAAGGCUA